CAUCAUUGAAAUAUGUGCAUGUGGUCUCUCUCACUAAACCCUUUCUCUCUGAUGUCCUGCAGAGACAGACAGGACACCCUGGACCAAUGGGUGAGAUGGGGAGACCAGGUUUACCUGGGUUACCUGGAGACCCAGGUCAGACAGGACCACCAGGCCGAAGAGGCGAAAUGGGUGGCAUUGGACCAAAGGGUUUUCGAGGCAGAGCAGGGACUCAAGGAAGAGAUGGAGAGAAAGGUCCAGAUGGGGUGACAGGAUCUCCAGGUGUCCCUGGCCUACAGGGUCCUCAUGGUUACAAAGGUGACACAGCGCCCCCUGGUGAGAAAGGAGAUGAGGGUUUUCCUGGUGCUCCUGGGCCCAGAGGAGGCGAAGGACAGACUGGCCAGAAGGUAAAGAAACCUGCAUCUGAAGUAUUUAUAAUUCAUUUGAUUUGUGUGUACUGUUUAUACUGUAUACAGUAAAAAUGGUAUACAUAUACUGCCCCCUAGCGGAUCAGGAGGGGCCACUUCCACUAAAAAAAGUAAUCUAUGAUUGGCUAUGGCUUUGUUGUUUUCCUUUUUCUUUUAUUUUUUAUUUUAUUAUUAUUAAAUAAUAAUUUUCUUUAUUUAUUUAUAGGGCUCAAAAGGAGGAAUUGGGUUUACUGGAUUUUCUGGUCCUCCAGUGAGUAAAUCACUUCAUAUUCUUGAACUACUAGUAACUGUUAUUCUUGCUAGUAACUGGUGUUAGUAUAUUAGAUAUUGUUCUUAUAUUUUCCUUUUGUUUUUAUUUUUUUACAUUUUAUUUUUUUAUUUUUAAAGGGACCAGUUGGUUUACAAGGUGUUCAAGGGAUUCCUGGACCACCUGGUCCUAAGGUGAUUCAUUUAAUUCACAAUUUAUUUUAACAUAUUUUUUACAUUCACCUUGACAGUAAGUAUAAAAAAAUUUGUUUUCAUAGGGGGAUCCAGGAAAUGAUGAAAAACGUGGUCCUCCAGGGACAGUAGUGAGUCAUUAAUAACCCCUUUUUAAUAAGAAAUAAUCACUGUCCUCAAUUCAGUUAGUUUCUUUUUGGUUAUAAUGGAUAUCCUUUAUAAUUUUUUACUUGGAUGAAACAUAGUUUAAAGAACUUUCUUUUUUCAAGUUUUCAUAAGAGUCACAAACACUCUUAAAAUGUAAAUUUUUAUGGAUCCUGCUUAAUAAUGCGCAGUUAUGUGUUUGUGUCUUACCAGGGAGCACCAGGUGCUACAGGAUUGGUGGGUGCACAAGGUGUUAAUGGCUCAGAAGUAAGUGAUUGACACUAGCUUACUGAAUCUGUAGUGUAGUUUCAUUACUUAAAGUGAUAGUCUACCCAAAAAUGAAAA
rnacentral:lncRNA from 12 species